GAUGAACGCUGGCGGCGUGCCUAAUACAUGCAAGUCGAGCGAACGGACGAGAAGCUUGCUUCUCUGAUGUUAGCGGCGGACGGGUGAGUAACACGUGGAUAACCUACCUAUAAGACUGGGAUAACUUCGGGAAACCGGAGCUAAUACCGGAUAAUAUUUUGAACCGCAUGGUUCAAAAGUGAAAGACGGUCUUGCUGUCACUUAUAGAUGGAUCCGCGCUGCAUUAGCUAGUUGAUAAGGUAACGGCUUACCAAGGCAACGAUGCAUAGCCGACCUGAGAGGGUGGUCGGCCACACUGGAACUGAGACACGGUCCAGACUCCUACGGGAGGCAGCAGUAGGGAAUCUUCCGCAAUGGGCGAAAGCCUGACGGAGCAACGCCGCGUGAGUGAUGAAGGUCUUCGGAUCGUAAAACUCUGUUAUUAGGGAAGAACAUAUGUGUAAGUAACUGUGCACAUCUUGACGGUACCUAAUCAGAAAGCCACGGCUAACUACGUG
rnacentral:rRNA from 1 species